rnacentral:pre_miRNA from 1 species
GACAUGAAGAGGAAGAAAAGAUGAACUAAGAGCAGUGGGCAUGGGAACAUGAUGGAAGGCUAAAAGCCGUUGUUCCUCGUCUAACACUAGAGGAGGCUUUGGUUUGAGUUUUUGUGAUGCCUUCCAUGCCUAUUGUUCUUUGGUGUCCCUUCCUCUUCAUGGGAUAC